GGUUAAGCGACUAAGCGUACACGGUGGAUGCCCUGGCAGUCAGAGGCGAUGAAGGGCGUGCUAAUCUGCGAUAAGCGCCGGUAAGGUGAUAUGAACCGUUAUAACCGGCGAUACCCGAAUGGGGAAACCCAGUGUGACUCGUCACACUAUCAUUAACUGAAUCCAUAGGUUAAUGAGGC
rnacentral:rRNA from 1 species